UAGGGAAUCUUCCACAAUGGACGCAAGUCUGAUGGAGCAACGCCGCGUGAGUGAAGAAGGUUUUCGGACCGUAAAGCUCUGUUGUUGGUGAAGAAGGAUAGAGGUAGUAACUGGCCUUUAUUUGACGGUAAUCAACCAGAAAGUCACGGCUAACUACGUGCCAGCAGCCGCGGUAAUACGUAGGUGGCAAGCGUUGUCCGGAUUUAUUGGGCGUAAAGCGAGCGCAGGCGGAAGAAUAAGUCUGAUGUGAAAGCCCUCGGCUUAACCGAGGAAUUGCAUCGGAAACUGUUUUCUUGAGUGCAGAAGAGGAGAGUAGAACUCCAUGUGUAGCGGUGGAAUGCGUAGAUAUAUGGAAGAAUACCAGUGGCGAAGGCGGCUCUCUGGUCUGCAACUGACGCUGAGGCUCGAAAGCAUGGGUAGCGAACAGGAUUAGAUACCCUGGUAGUCCAUGCCGUAAACGAUGAGUGCUAAGUGUUGGGAGGCUCCCGCCUCUCAGUGCUGCAGCUAACGCAUUAAGCACUCCGCCUGGGGGAGUACGACCGCAAGGUUGAAAC
rnacentral:rRNA from 1 species